ensembl:lncRNA
CUCUUUUCACCUUGUUAAUCACUCACUGAUAAGCUUUGUCCUCUGGCCACCACCUUUGAAGUGUUUGAGCCUCCUGGCAGUUUGGGGGAAUGAAACUGUACAGUAGAGGCAGAUGGAGUUAGUGGGAGCUUCAGCUGAUUAGCUACACGAGUCCAUGUGACCAGAUGGGAGGAAUUCAAGGAUGUCAGAGGACCUGGCCGAUGUCACUGCAAAGCCAUUCUCUGUCACUGGUCACAGUGGAAGUUCCUAAUGACAGAAAAAAAGGCAAAUGUCACAGCUAUAUCCUCAGGAAGGGCAAGAAGGAAGACUGGGAAACUAGAGGCUGAUCAACAACACCAUUGGUCCAUGAGAAGGUGAUAGAACAAAUCCUCUUACAAGCCAUUUCCAAGCACAGGAAGGAUGAGAAGUUGAUUGGCAACAUGAAUUUACUGAGGACAAAAUCUACCCUUACACCUUGAAUGCAUUCUAUGAUGUUAUGACUGUCUGUGUGGAUGAAGAGUGAGAAGUGGACAUUGUGUUCCUAGACUUAACCAGUAGACCGUGCCUAUCACAUGCUGGACUGUGGGACUCAUAAAGCUCAAGUUACUCAGAACAAAUUUUACGUACAAUACGUAUUUUAAGCAAAGGGCUUGUGGAAAUCGUCACCAGGAGGAAAAAAUGUAUUCAGGUGGACUACACAAAUAUGUGUGUGCAGCCAUACCCAUGCAUUUUGGAGACAUAACCAUGUUGAGACCUAUGUUUUCCUCCUUCUGUGAUUCUGAAGAUCUUCUACAGCAUCACUUCAAGGUUUUACACCUGAAACGGGUUCAUUUUCACUUGUCUGAUGCACAUUUCCAGCCAGCAGCCGGGAGACCGAAGAGGAUUCAAUCCGCAAUUGUUCUGAAAGCACACAAACUGAAUAAAUGUUUAUAACCCUAAAUGGUGUCACCGCAGCAGAUGAAUGGCAGCAGAACAAUGGGCACCGAUGCACUCUUCAGGCCGCAGCCAAGUUCCCUAGCAACUACAGAGGAGCUGUGCAGCCUGCAGAGGUACUGUGAGUGCCAGCAGGCCGUUAUCUGAGAAAUGACUGAGAAAUGAUCUUAGUGCCGUAUUUCAUUGAGGAGAUACCAUUAAUCAAUUGCCUGUUUGUAAUUCACGGAUACCACUUUUUCCCUUUGGGUAAACUAUUAGGGGAUUGUGAAUUGUUCUUUACACACAUCUGGAAGUAGAUCGCCAACAUGUAGCUUUACUUCUACCCUGACAAACACUGCUUUCAGUCCGAUUUGACUGUCCGAUUUGACUUUUCCGUUGACCCCCUGCCUCCCUUCUCCAGUGUUUCAGCACAGCUGGAAGAAUUCAACUCUUCAACUUCAGAAGGUUUGCUUGGAAGCAGGGAAGCAGUGGGCAAUGCCACAUCACACCAGUCACUUGCCACAGAAACCUCCUAACUGCUGUCUUCUGUAUCUGCACAAGCUGUCAUGCUUAUUGUUGCACCAGGAGAGAUCUUGCACAGCAGCAGUGGAGCUGGGGGAAGGCUGUAUCUCCCCAGGCUAAUCUGGUUAACCAUGAAAGCUGUCAGGACUUGUUCACCCGCAGCAAAAGACUCAUCCUGGUCACUAUAAAAGAACAAAACUGCCAUGCAGCAAGAGCUCCCCACUCAAGCUUGUGGCUCACCCUAAAAUGCAGCUGAAAGCACUCUCUCGUGCAGAGCCCAACCCCUAAAUCUCCAUCACAUGGGAAAGUUCCCCACAGCUGUGACUGUUACAGGCUUCCCUGUUGCUUCACGUGUCCUUUCCAACACUUGCUGAACCAUCAUAAGCUGUUGUUUCAGAUCACACGCACACAUGGCUUUACAAAAGGCAAAGCAUCUCUUUAAACAAUAAGCUUUUCAUAGAACCAUAGAAACAUAGAAUGGCUUGCGUUAGAAGAGACUUCAAAGGUCAUCUGAUUCCAACCCACCAGCUCAGGCUGCCCAGGGCCCAUUCCAACCUGGCCUUGAGCACCUCCAGGGAUGGGGCACCACAGCUUCUCUGGGCAGCUGUGCCAGCGCUUCACUGCCCUCUGAGUAAAAAGUUUCCCCCUAAUAUCCCACCUAAAUCUCCCCUCUUUUAGUUUAAAGCCAUUCCUGCUUGUCCUAUCACUAUAAGACCAUGUAAAAAAUUGGUCUCCCUUCUGCUAAUAAACUUCUUCUAAGCACGGCAAGGCCACUAUCAGGUCUCUCUGGAGCUUUCUCUUCUCCAGGCAGCUCAAGCCCAGUUCCCUCAGCCUGUCUUCACAGGAGAGGUGCUCCAACCCUCUGAUCAUCUUCCUGCUGUUGUCUGGACCCACUCCAACAUCUCCACAUCCCUUCUACGCUGGGGACCCCAGGCCUGGACGCAGUACUCCAAGUGGAGCCUCACGAGGGCAGAGCAAAGAGGGACAUUCACUUCCCUCCCCCCCGCUGGCCACCCCUUCUUUUGCCGCAGCCCAGUGUACAAUGAGGUAACCCUUCCCUGCGAGCUCCCUCGGCUACGCCCGACACCUGGGCCAAGGGAGGCGCCCUUCCCGAGGGGCCACCUGCGCCCAUCCGGGGCCGGCGCGAUGCGGCCGGAAGGGGGCGCCGCCGUCCCGCCUGUAGAACCGGAGCAGAACAUGGCGAGUAGCCCGGCGCUUCGCCAGGGCCCCGGGCAGGGGGAGGGCGACCGUGGCUCUCUUUCGCGGCUGCCCUCCGCAGCAGAAGCCAACAGAACCGUGUGGGUGUGGCACUGAGGGACGUGGUCAGUGGGCAUGGCGGGGAUGGGAUGACACUUGGGCUAGGUGACCUUAGAUGUCUCUUCCAACCUUAAUGAAUCUGUGAUUCUAUAUUUGAGAAGUUAAAAACAGUUGAAACAAGGAUUGUGGGAUUGUGGAUGUUACCUGCUUUCACCGUUCCUUUGUCGUUAAAUGUCUGGCAUUCACAUAUUAGUAUGUGGCUGGCUAACGAGGAAGUGAAAUAUUAAUUUCUCCUCAGUCAGGAAGCUCCUGGAUGGAAGUUCACCUCAGUCAAGUCUCACUUUGAGAGCUUAAUUCUGAUCUGUCCAGCUUUGUGAUUACUUGCUCUCAUACUAUGCAUUGGAGUCACACACUGCUUUGCUAUAGGACUGAAAGAGUUCAAAUUUUAAGGUAGUUUUCAAAUCAAAUUCAUGGUUUGGGUUGAAAGGGAGCUCACAGCCCACCCACCCCAACCUGUGCCGUGGGCAGGGCUGCCCCCCACCAGCUCAGGCUGCCCAGGGCCCCAUCCAACCUGGCCUUGAGAGCCUCCAGGGAUGGGGCACCACAGCUUCUCUGGGCAGCUGUGCCAGCGCCUCACCGCCCUCUCAGCAAAAAGUUUCCACCAACAUCUAAUCUAAAUGUGGCACUUCAGUGGAUUGUGUUAAAUAAAUACUUAAAUAAAUAAAAUUCCAAACUCGUUAAUGGCCACUCUUCUAUGUCUAGACCAGUCUGUGGCCUUACUCUCUCCACCUAGUCCUGUUCGUCCACUUUCUAACCUGGGAUAUUGCUUCCUGAAUUCUCAGCUGUAAUCUGCAGGCCCUCUCUGGACAGCAUGUCUCUGCAGUGGUUGUUUAUAUGGUGUCCUCUGUAGUGGUGUUCUUUCCUAAAGGUUCAUGGUGUAGUAAUAAAUUCUUUGAAAGACGCCGUCAGAGGAGGUCAUGGGAGCAAAGACACACGCAAGGAAUUGAUGGCACUUCAGCAUUUUGCUAGUAAAGACACAAGCUGUCCUGUAGGAACAGGAAAGCUAUUGUUGGACUGAAUCCGCCUGUCUUCCUCUGGUGCCAGCACUCCACAAAGCGUGCAUUUUGUGACUGUAAUGCUAUUCAGCCUCGCAAAAGGUACAGCCUGGGACCAAUCGGAGAACAUGAUUAAAUGCUCAGCUUCCAUCCCUCAUAUAAAGGUCGUGUAUUUGUAUUCCAGCUAAGUCAGCCGUCAGCGUUUGUAAAGUGUCUGAUGUUCUCUUAUUGCUGUGCAAACAAUGGCAAAACCAAAACAGAAUUAAAUUUCAAUUAAUCUGAGACAUUCAUAACAGGCAUUAGAACAAUAAGCAUGUUUUGUUAUUAACCUUCCUCCUUCAUAUGAGAUUUUGACCUCUUUAUACUAAUCUGAUUUUAUUUGUCAAAUUAACUGUAGAAUUCAAUAUUAGUAGUCCCAGACAAUGACUCAAGCUUCAUCACCUCCUAUUCCCUCUUUGUGGGAAAAAGAAGGUAAUUAUUACUUUUAAAAAUAAUAACAACCUUGGAGUGAAGUUUCAUUUCUUAUUUCUUAAUGACGAGACCCUUUUUUUCUCUUGCUGUUUUUUAACCUUUAGAAUGGAUUUUCCUUUUCAAACUCUGUUUUUUUUUUUUUUUCUGAGCAUUUUUGAGGUCUGGAAACAUUUCUUUUUUCGUAAUGGAACCUGAGAUUCCUGACUAAUGACUUGCCUUUGGGAGCUGAGAUUUUAAUUAAAAAAGAAAAAAAAAAAAAAACCACCCAAAGUGGGGCAGUUGUGAUAAAAUCAUAAGAAUUGGCAAUAUAUUUAUGUGUCUACGCCAGGUAGGGAAGCAUUGUGAAGGAGAAGAAAACUGCCUGACUGUAAGCAGACCUUCUUGAUGAUGAAACCCUGCAGGGCUAUGGCCAGCUAUGGCACCUGUAAGACAUAGAGGGGUGGUUACAGAGCAAGUGCAGGAGAGUGAUAUCUUCAGCCACGAGGACUGCUUUGUAUCAUGUUCUUCACUGAGAUAAACAUCUCCUCCUAGCAGCUCCUUAUCUGCUGAUAAUCUUGCCAUAUCCCAGUCCACAUCUGAAGUGCAUGCACGUUUUGGGGCAAGGGUAGUGCUGGCUGGGACUCUGCCCAGUUCCAAGUAGGUACAAGAGGCUCGGGGCCAACUGUUUAUUGGGCUGUACUAUUUAUACAGUAAUUCUCGACUUGCUUGGAACAAGGGACAGAUCAAGGCUUAAUCCCCUUUCCCGGACAACCCUAUUACCUAACACCAAGAGUGGUAGAAAAGUCCUAAUCUUCAGAGGGAGAGGGACAGUAAAAGUUCCUCUAUCAGAGAUUGUUAAGAUAGCCCAGAACAAAGCCUUAGAGAGCUAUUGGCUACAGUGCGCCUGAAAAGGAGAUAACCCAGCAGAUGUCUGGGUUUGCAUUGCGGUGUAAUUACAGGUGAGCUUUAAAGUCACUGGGAAUCAGCUGACUGUUCUGGGAAGAACAGCAGCGGUAUGUUGCUGCUGUGCCUGUUUCAGCACAAAAGCACACAUCUCAUGAACAGGCACG